GAUGAAGAACGUAGCGAAAUGCGAUAAGUAGUGUGAAUUGCAGAAUUCAGUGAAUCAUCGAAUCUUUGAACGCACAUUGCGCCCCUUGGUAUUCCAUGGGGCAUGCCUGUUCGAGCGUCAUUUGUACCCUCAAGCUUUGCUUGGUGUUGGGCGUCUUGUCUUGUAUUAGACUCGCCUUAAAGUCAUUGGCAGCCAGUGUUUUUGGUAGUAAGCGCAGCACAUUUUGCGUCUUAGUCCUUGAAUCGUGGCAUCCAUGAAGCCUUUUUUCACUUUUGACCUCGGAUCAGGUAGGGAUACCCGCUGAACUUAAGCAUAUCAAUAAGCGGACGA
rnacentral:misc_RNA from 1 species